GAGCCACUCCCCCUCUCCUGAUCUCUGCCCCGAUCUCAAUUGAUACAUAUCAGGUGUGUAAAUGUCCAACUGUGGUAAAGGUAAAAAAUUAUUCUGGUUCAGGCAUACUAGUAAAGGAAUCUAAUGAUUAUCCUUCUCAGUUGUGGUUUAUAUGCCUAAUCUGCAGUUUCAUAAAAAUCGGAUGCAUGUAGUUUGAGUCAAUUAGUUCAGAGAAGAGGGGGACUUUUAUGUUAUUGGCACCAUUUUUUAUGUCUGUGAUCGACCAGAGCGAGAAAACAAACCAUUAUCUUCAUUGUCUUAUCAUUUCUUGAGUCUUAUUUGAGAUAUUAAGUUGAACAAAUCUCAUUUUGAAAUUUUUGUUCUGGGUAUUUGUGUGUUUACAAGUUGUGAUACUCUUAGAUGUAAUACAUAUGCAUAAAAAAUGUUUUAGCCAAAAGAGACUAAUUAGGGCCCAUGUAAAUUAAAUCUGUAUCUCUAUUUUAUUUGUUUAAAUUAUCAACAAACAGUGUUGUGGGUUUUCUUUUACAUAAAGUUUUUUUUUAAUUAAAACAGAAAACUCCCAUGUUGUUUAACUUCUGUGACUUAAUCAUGAAAGCAAUAUUUUACUUAUAAACACAUGUGUGGAUUUACAAACUUAAAGUUUUGUCCUGUUUUAUACACAUAGAUCAAACAUGAAGACAAACCUUUCACAAUUUUAUGCUAAUUUAACUUGACCAUAACAUAAGCUUGGGUCCUACAGGGUGUGGUCAACUUGCAGGCUCAGUAAUUAUCAAACGCAUCUUGUUUUAAUUUUAAUUAUUGGCCGUGCAGUUCUACUGCUAUAUUGUUUUUACCUGCUGUGAUUUAUUACAGGUACAUGUAGCCAUUGCCAUUACCAGUUCUGGUAAUCUAUGAUACAAAUCAUAGUAUUAUAUUACUAUUGAGUGUAAUGCUCCUGCCGUUUGUAACACAUUCCGCAAUGAGUUUUAGUACUUACAUGUCAGUACUUUGAUUUACAUAUUUAGAAAGCUAUGUUGAAAGGUAUUAGCAUUUGUUGUCUUAUCAUGUAUAGCUCAAAGUUAUACCAUCUCUGUAACUAUUCUCUUCAUUGGACGAGGUUCAGCAAAAAUGGGAUUAAAUGGAUUUAGUUGUGUAUGAUAUAUGUAUAUAUUAUAAUGUAUGAAAACUUACAUGUGACUGUUUUAACAAUAUUUUAUUUGUAUGAGAAAUGUGUUAGUUAUGUAUACAUGUACAUCAUUGAACAUAUUUUGAGAAAGAUUGUAAAUUAAAACUAUUGCUCAGAGAUGUGUCUUCCCCUGAGAUAGUCUCUCUGACUUGCUAAGACUAUUUUUCUAUUGAAUUUAAAAAAAGGCUGAAAAUUUUAAAAUCUGUCGGGUAGAUCCUCCAAUCUCAUUGAUAAUACUCACAUGGAGGCUCUGCAAAGCAGAGAGGUGCCUCGUUUACAUCUUGUUUUCCAUGUACCAUUUACUGGUAAAAGUGCUUAUACUGAUGGAAGAGCUCAGUAUGUUGGGGAAAGUACUGACUAGAAAUCCAACUUAGAUAUGGUGGGGAUCAAAUAUACAAAGUUGUUAUUUAAGAAAUAAACAUCGCUUAAAGUC
rnacentral:sRNA from 1 species